GAAAUUACAGCAGCUGCAUUCUCUGGUGACGACGAACGAUGGUUGAUUUUUCCAGAUGGUGACAAGAGAUGAUCCUUAAUCUACAACGACGAUGAAGACUCUUCCUCCGGUGGUUGCAGCGAUGACGUCUCCACUUCCGAAAACAUUUAAUAUUCUGUCUUGGUGUCACACGCCACUCUCCAAAACCAAUUUUCUUUGGUGGAAAGAUCAG
rnacentral:lncRNA from 1 species